GACGAACGCUGGCGGCGUGCUUAACACAUGCAAGUCGAGCGGGGAUAAGAGCUUCGGUUCUUAUUCUAGCGGCGGACGGGUGAGUAACGCGUGAACAAUCUGUCCCAGACAGGGGGAUAACAGAUGGAAACAUCUGCUAAUACCGCAUAAGACCACGACCCGGCAUCGGGUUGAGGUAAAAGGAGCAAUCCGGUUUGGGGUGAGUUCGCGUCCGAUUAGCUAGUUGGUGAGGUAACGGCCCACCAAGGCGACGAUCGGUAGCCGACCUGAGAGGGUGAUCGGCCACAUUGGAACUGAGACGCGGUCCAA
rnacentral:rRNA from 1 species